rnacentral:rRNA from 1 species
UAAGGAGUUUUCGGCAAUGGGGGAAACCCUGACCGAGCAACGCCGCGUGAGUGAUGACGGCCCUAUGGGUUGUAAAGCUCUGUUAUAAGGGACGAACAGCUUUGCGAGGAAAUGCGCAGAGUCUGACGGUACUUUAUCAGAAAGCCACGGCUAACUACGUG